rnacentral:rRNA from 1 species
UACGGAGGUGGCAAGCGUUGUUCGGAAUUACUGGGCGUAAAGGGCGCGUAGGCGGUCAGCACAAGUCAGUUGUGAAAUCUCCGGGCUUAACUCGGAAAGGUCAACUGAUACUGUGCGACUAGAGUGCAGAAGGGGCAACUGGAAUUCUCGGUGUAGCGGUGAAAUGCGUAGAUAUCGAGAGGAACACCUGCGGCGAAGGCGGGUUGCUGGGCUGACACUGACGCUGAUGCGCGAAAGCCAGGGGAGCGAACGGG